rnacentral:misc_RNA from 1 species
UUUUUUUUUUGUUCUUUGCUAAUUUCCUCUCUUCGUUUUCCGAUCUCCAAUCUUUCUCUGAGUUGCAGUUUUUGAGUUGGUGCUCUUCGAUUGAAGGUUGUUAAUGUAAUGAUGAAUCACGGAGCUAAUUCGCAAACUAUAUCUCCUGUAGACCCGAAUUCGCUUGAGGGUCGAUAUGUUGUUGAUACAAGCCAACCACAGUCAUCUUCAUAUCUUCCAUCGACAACUGGGUCUGAAGCUCUUUCAUG